CGGGUUUUAGUUUAAUUUAAGAAUAACAGUUUUGGGGAUUGUUGGUCCUUUAAGGGAAAUCAGA
rnacentral:tRNA from 1 species